rnacentral:rRNA from 1 species
AGAGUUUGAUCCUGGCUCAGGAUGAACGCUAGCGGGAGGCUUAACACAUGCAAGUCGAGGGGUAAGGAGAUAGCAAUAUUUCCCUAGACCGGCGCACGGGUGAGUAACGCGUAUGCAACCUGCCCUUUACAGGGGGAUAGCCCGGAGAAAUCCGGAUUAAUACCCCAUGGAUCUGCAGUACCGCAUGGUACAACAGAUAAAGCUGAGGCGGUAAAGGAUGGGCAUGCGUGACAUUAGCUAGUUGGUAAGGUAACGGCUUACCAAGGCUACGAUGUCUAGGGGUUCUGAGAGGAAGGUCCCCCACACUGGUACUGAGACACGGACCAGACUCCUACGGGAGGCAGCAGUGAGGAAUAUUGGUCAAUGGGCGCGAGCCUGAACCAGCCAUCCCGCGUGCAGGAAGAAGGCCCUAUGGGUUGUAAACUGCUUUUGUGCAGGAAUAA